AAAAUAAUGAAACUGUAUGGUGCAGAAAGUGUCUUUUUCAUUACAGUUUCUGGUGCUGGGCAAUGGUAGAUCACUAUGGCUUCUGCACCGUGAAAUGAAGCUUAUGAUGAAAUACUGAUGCUUGGCUAAUCUCACCAACGGGAUAUAAUAAGAACUGAUGCAGGUUUGUAAUUACAUGUAUUGUCUAUCCGGAACAAAGUUAGUACGCUUUUUAUACCGAAGUUGGAUUUUUCUCCAGAUACAGGCAACUUACCCAACUUCGAAAGUAGUGCGCUUGAUUCGCCUAAACAACGCAUCAUUUAGUUUGACAGAUAAAACUUUGGAAGAAACUUCGGUUCGGAAGUCCCUACAGCAAAGCGAGGUAAAAUGAGUGAAAAUGAAGUUUAAACUG